UACGGAAGGCAGCAGUGGGGAAUAUUGCACAAUGGGCGCAAGCCUGAUGCAGCCAUGCCGCGUGUAUGAAGAAGGCCUUCGGGUUGUAAAGUACUUUCAGUCGUGAGGAAGGUGUUAAGGUUAAUAACCUUAGCAAUUGACGUUAGCGACAGAAGAAGCACCGGCUAACUCCGUGCCAGCAGCCGCGGUAAUACGGAGGGUGCGAGCGUUAAUCGGAAUUACUGGGCGUAAAGGGCACGCAGGCGGCUAAUUAAGUUGGAUGUGAAAUCCCCGGGCUUAACCUGGGAAUGGCAUUCAAGACUGGUUAGCUAGAGUCUUGUAGAGGGGGUAGAAUUCCAUGUGUAGCGGUGAAAUGCGUAGAGAUGUGGAGGAAUACCGGUGGCGAAGGCGGCCCCUGGGACAAAGACUGACGCUCAUGUGCGAAGGCGUGGGGAGCAAACGAGGAUUAGAUACC
rnacentral:rRNA from 1 species